GAUAACGCCAAAUCCCGUUCCGGUGCUUCCUCCGCCGUGUACUGGUGUCUUGCGGUGUAGCUGCUGGACGGGUGUCUGCAAAACAACACCGGAGGGGGGUUUGAGCCCCGCGGCGCCUCCGGCGUGAGAAUGAGUACAGGCGUCGGAAAAUAUAUAGACGAGAAAUGAGUUAUCUAUAUAUGUGGUGGGUGAAGAUGUAUGGCUGCUGUGUAUGGUGGCUUAGAGUGUGUGAGAAAUAUGAGAGUGUGGAGAAGAAGAUCCUUAAGCCUCUCAUCCUUGGUCUAUUUAUAGGCCAAGGAUUAGGGUUUAAGGAUAUGUACCUUGGAUCCUGCUGUCCAUCUGUAGGGCUUGGAUGCUUAACACCUGUCCAGGUGUCAGCUAAGGAAUAGUAUUUUGGAGUGUUAUGAGGUUUGUCUUCAUAGUGUCAGUAGCUGGCAUUGGGUAUUGUCCUUGUCAUGUCAGACUGCAACUUGUUCAGGUGUCGGCUUGGACUCUUGUGUCCCGGUCCGGGGGAAGGAUGGAUAGGUUGCGUCUGGGUCCGGGAUCAUCUCCGGGGUCCGAGAUCAUCUCCAAGGUCCGGGAUCGUCUCCUGGUUCUGAGAUCAUCUCCUGGGUCCGGGACCAUAUCCGGGUCAUAUCGUGCUCGGGUCCGGAUUAAGCCAAUCCAGAGUCCGGGUUAAGCCAAUCCUUUUCAUGUUAGAAUGUGGCUUGUUCAGGUGUCGGCUUGGACUCUUGUGUCCCGGUCCGGGAGAAGAGUGGAUAGGUUGUGUUUGGGUCCGGGACCAUCUCCUGGGUCCGGGAUCGUCUCCUGGGUCCGGGAUCAUCUCCGGGUCAUAUCGUGCUCGGGUCCGGAUUAAAGCCAAUCCAGGAUCCAGAUUAAGCCAAUCCGGGUUAUACCCUAUCAUUUGCCCCCCACUCCCUUAUACAGAUUUUCUGUGUGAGGGAGUUGAGUGUAUUGUCCGGUGCGGGCUGAUUGCGGAGAAGGUGGAGUUUUUCAUUUGCCCCCCUGUCCGGGCUAACCUGGACAAGGUGGAAUUUUUGCUUUUGCGCCUCUAUCCCGGUUAAUCCGGUAUUAGGCGAAGAAUCCUGCUUUUGCUCCUCUGCCCGGGUUGACCCGGACUAGGUGUGAAAUCUUGCUCACCUAUCCAGGUGGAUCCAGACAUGGUGUGAAAUUUUGCUUUUGCCCCCCUGUCCGGACCGAUCUGGACGAAGUGGUGGGAUUCUGCUUUUUGCCCCCCGUCUGGGUUGAUCAGGGUAGGAUGUGAGAUUUUGCUUUUUGUCCCUCGGCCUGGGUUGAUCCGGACAAGAGGUGAGUCUGGUUAGAUUGCUCGGCAUGAGUCCGGACGGGAUUGCUCCACAUGUGUCCGGACGGGAUUGCUUGACAUGAGUCCGGGUGAUUGCUUUUUUUUUUUUUUUUUUGUUUGUUUGCCUUAGAAAAUUUUUUCCAAGUAAGAUAGCUCAUGAUUGAACCGGGGUACUCGAAAUUGAACCGGGGUAGCUUUUGCUUUUUGCCUUGGAAAAUUUUUCCAAGUAAGAGAUAGAUCAUGAUUGAACCCGGGUAGCUUUUUGUUUGUUUGCCUUGGAAAAUAAUUUUUCCAAGUAAGAGAUAUGUCAUAACUGGACCGGGGUAGCUUUUUGUUUGUUUGCCUUAGAAAAAUUUUUCCAAGUAAGAUAGCUCAUGAUUGAACCGGGGUACUCGGGUUCUCAAAAUUGAACCGGGGUAGCUUUUGCUUUUUGCCUUGGAAAAUUUUUCCAAGUAAGAGAUAGAUCAUGAUUGAACCCGGGUAGCUUUUUGUUUGUUUGCCUCGGAAAAUAAUUUUUCCAAGUAAGAGAUAUGUCAUAACUGGACCGGGGUAGCUUUUUGUUUGUUUGCCUUAGAAAAAUUUUUCCAAGUAAGAUAGCUCAUGAUUAAACCGGGGUACUCGGGUUCUCAAAAUUGAACCGGGGUAGCUUUUGCUUUUUGCUUUGGAAAAUUUUUCCAAGUAAGAGAUAGAUCAUGAUUGAACCCGGGUAGCUAUUUGUUUGUUUGCCUUGGAAAAUAAUUUUUCCAAGCAAGAGAUAGCUCAUGAUUGCACCCGGGUAGCUUUUUGUUUGUUUGCCUUGGAAAAUAAUUUUUCCAAGCAAGAGAUAGCUCAUGAUUGCACCCGGGUAGCUUUUUGUUUGUUUGCCUUGGAAAAUAAUUUUUCCAAGCAAGAGAUAGCUCAUGAUUGCACCCGGGUAGCUUUUGCUUUUUUGCCUUCAAAAAUUUUUCGAAAAAUUUUUCUAAGUAAGAGAUAACUAAAAAGUGAACCCGGGUAGCCUUUUGGUUGUUUGUCUUAGAAAAUUUUUUCCAAGUAUGAUUGCUUGGUCCGGACUCAUUAUUGAAUCAGGGUUAGUAUGAUUGCGUAGUCCGGACUCAUCUAAGUCAGGACUAGUAUGGUUGCUUAGAAAAACUUCUUGCUGAUUGCUUCUUGAAGACAUCUCAUAUAAGCCGAGAGUGCCUCAUUAUCAUACUCCCGUACCCGGAGUCCCUUCUAACUUUCUUCUACAGCUCAUGGAUCAUGUCCCAUAGAUUGGUCUGAUACUCGUUAUUCUCAUGGUCUUAGAUCAGCUCUUGGGUUGGCUCAUUCCUAGAUCGUUUGGAGCGGGACUUGCUCAUGAGCCUUUCUUCUUAUAACUGGAUCCUUCUUUGAAUUUUUUGCUCUAGCUUUUCUUCUUCUUCUCUCCGGAUGUGUUCUUUUUUUUUUGGCCAGGAUCUUUCGCCUUGUGGCAUCACUUUCUCUCUGCUUCUUUUUCCUUACUUUGUCACCAAUCCGGUCAAAGACGGAACCCCGGGAUUGGCGGGAAUUUUCAAAGUCUUCAGAAUCAGGAAUCAACCUGGGUCCUUUGAGGUUUUCGGCUCGUUGUUCCUGGUAUAACCGGAUUGCUUCGGCCAACUCUAUGUUGGUUAGAUAUGUAACAUGGUCUGCGGUCACCGGGACAUCGAUGCACUUUAACUGGUUCAUUUCAAUUGUGACCCGGGCAUCGUCUAGGUUGAUCCGGGUCUCUUCUGGAUUGAUCCCGGUCAAGAGUGGUUUAGAGAUGAGAUCCUGAUGUGGAUUGUCCUGGUCCACCGGGUUGAACUGCUCGGAUCGGGUUGAUUGGGUUUGGGUUUUUCCACCCCUUGUCAUGAUUAUAGUGAACAACUCAAACAAGAACUACCCAGGGAGUAUGCUUGCUUUUUGGUGAAAGUGUAUGUGUGCAGUAUAGACAGUAGUGGAAUGAUAGAAAUAGUGUAAGCAGAUAGUCAACUUACUACUUCAAGAAAUGCUAGAAAUAGUUAAAUGACAAAGGUGUAAGGGACUACAGGACAAGGUGUCUUGAUGUACUACAGACAAAUUUAGGGUUCUUCUAGACAGGGUUUGCUAACAUGCACACAACAAAGAGAAUCAUGGCUGAGAGGGUUUUGAAAGAUUUGAGUGCGUUUUGAAGCUUACAUGGUUGAAUCGGGACUCUCUUUUCGGGAGUUUGCUGAUGAAGAUGAGUCCAGUGGCACCGUGACCACAGGACGGAGAAUACAACCUUCCCCUCCUUCUAGCGCCAAAUGAUAACGCCAAAUCCCGUUCUGGUGCUUCCUCCGCCGUGUACCGGUGUCUUGCGGUGUAGCUGCUGGACGGGUGUCUGCAAAACAACACCGGAGGGGGGUUUGAGCCCCGCGGCGCCUCCGGCGUGAGAAUGAGUACAGGCGUCGGAAAAUAGAUAGACGGGAAAUGAGCUAUCUAUGUGUGGUGGGUGAAGGUGUAUGGCUGCUGUGUAUGGUGGCUUAGAGUGUGUGAGAAAUAUGAGAGUGUGGAGAAGAAGAUCCUUAAGCCUCUCAUCCUUGGUCUAUUUAUAGGCCAAGGAUUAGGGUUUAAGGAUGUGUACCUUGGAUCCUGCUGUCCAUCUGUAGGGCUUGGAUGCUUAACACCUGUCCAGGUGUCAGCUAAGGAAUAGUAUUUUGGAGUGUUAUGAGGUUUGUCUUCAUAGUGUCAGUAGCUGGCAUUGGGUAUUGUCCUUGUCAUGUCAGACUGCAACUUGUUCAGGUGUCGGCUUGGACUCUUGUGUCCCGGUCCGGGGGAAGGAUGGAUAGGUUGCGUCUGGGUCCGGGAUCAUCUCCGGGGUCCGAGAUCAUCUCCAAGGUCCGGGAUCGUCUCCUGGUUCUGAGAUCAUCUCCUGGGUCCGGGACCAUAUCCGGGUCAUAUCGUGCUCGGGUCCGGAUUAAGCCAAUCCAGAGUCCGGGUUAAGCCAAUCCUUUUCAUGUUAGAAUGUGGCUUGUUCAGGUGUCGGCUUGGACUCUUGUGUCCCGGUCCGGGAGAAGAGUGGAUAGGUUGUGUUUGGGUCCGGGACCAUCUCCUGGGUCCGGGAUCGUCUCCUGGGUCCGGGAUCAUCUCCGGGUCAUAUCGUGUUCGGGUCCGGAUUAAGCCAAUCCAGGGUCCAGAUUAAGCCAAUCCGGGUUAUACCCUAUCAUUUGCCCCCCACUCCCUUAUACAGAUUUUCUGUGUGAGGGAGUUGAGUGUAUUGUCCGGUGCGGGCUGAUUGCGGAGAAGGUGGAGUUUUUCAUUUGCCCCCCUGUCCGGGCUAACCUGGACAAGGUGGAAUUUUUGCUUUUGCGCCUCUAUCCCGGUUAAUCCGGUAUUAGGCGAAGAAUCCUGCUUUUGCUCCUCUGCCCGGGUUGACCCGGACUAGGUGUGAAAUCUUGCUCACCUAUCCAGGUGGAUCCAGACAUGGUGUGAAAUUUUGCUUUUGCCCCCCUGUCCGGACCGAUCUGGACGAAGUGGUGGGAUUCUGCUUUUUGCCCCCCGUCUGGGUUGAUCAGGGUAGGAUGUGAGAUUUUGCUUUUUGUCCCUCGGCCUGGGUUGAUCCGGACAAGAGGUUGAUAACGCCAAAUCCCGUUCCGGUGCUUCCUCCGCCGUGUACUGGUGUCUUGCGGUGUAGCUGCUGGACGGGUGUCUGCAAAACAACACCGGAGGGGGGUUUGAGCCCCGCGGCGCCUCCGGCGUGAGAAUGAGUACAGGCGUCGGAAAAUAUAUAGACGAGAAAUGAGUUAUCUAUAUAUGUGGUGGGUGAAGAUGUAUGGCUGCUGUGUAUGGUGGCUUAGAGUGUGUGAGAAAUAUGAGAGUGUGGAGAAGAAGAUCCUUAAGCCUCUCAUCCUUGGUCUAUUUAUAGGCCAAGGAUUAGGGUUUAAGGAUGUGUACCUUGGAUCCUGCUGUCCAUCUGUAGGGCUUGGAUGCUUAACACCUGUCCAGGUGUCAGCUAAGGAAUAGUAUUUUGGAGUGUUAUGAGGUUUGUCUUCAUAGUGUCAGUAGCUGGCAUUGGGUAUUGUCCUUGUCAUGUCAGACUGCAACUUGUUCAGGUGUCGGCUUGGACUCUUGUGUCCCGGUCCGGGGGAAGGAUGGAUAGGUUGCGUCUGGGUCCGGGAUCAUCUCCGGGGUCCGAGAUCAUCUCCAAGGUCCGGGAUCGUCUCCUGGUUCUGAGAUCAUCUCCUGGGUCCGGGACCAUAUCCGGGUCAUAUCGUGCUCGGGUCCGGAUUAAGCCAAUCCAGAGUCCGGGUUAAGCCAAUCCUUUUCAUGUUAGAAUGUGGCUUGUUCAGGUGUCGGCUUGGACUCUUGUGUCCCGGUCCGGGAGAAGAGUGGAUAGGUUGUGUUUGGGUCCGGGACCAUCUCCUGGGUCCGGGAUCGUCUCCUGGGUCCGGGAUCGUCUCCUGGGUCCGGGAUCAUCUCCGGGUCAUAUCGUGCUCGGGUCCGGAUUUAAGCCAAUCCAGGAUCCAGAUUAAGCCAAUCCGGGUUAUACCCUAUCAUA
rnacentral:lncRNA from 1 species